ACUCCUACGGGAGGCAGCAGUGGGGAAUAUUGCACAAUGGGCGCAAGCCUGAUGCAGCCAUGCCGCGUGUGUGAAGAAGGCCUUAGGGUUGUAAAGCACUUUCAGCGAGGAGGAAAGGGUNUGUGCUAAUACCAUACAUCUGUGACGUUACUCGCAGAGAAGCACCGCUAACUCCGUGCCAGCAGCCGCGGUAAUACGGAGGGUGCGAGCGUUAAUCGGAAUUACUGGGCGUAAAGCGUGCGCAGGCGGUUUGUUAAGCGAGAUGUGAAAGCCCCGGGCUCAACUGG
rnacentral:rRNA from 1 species